rnacentral:rRNA from 1 species
AUGCAGAACAUCAAGGAAAUCUUGAAAAUUAUAUGUGCACUCUAUGUCUUUUUCUUAUGCUUACAAGUAUUCUGCACUCAUACUGUUAUGCAUAAGUUCAGGUCGCGUGUGGAGUUUCAGAUAUAUGCAAUUGAAUUAGAGCACCAUGUUCUCACCCAUGUAAUUUGCAGGGAAAACAUAAUAAGAUCUAAGAACAUAAAUAUAGAAGUUCAUAUUUUGAAACAAAUGAAGUAUUUGGGAACUAAAAUGAAGUAUUUCAAAGUACAGAACUUCUAUUUAGGUUCCUUUUGUGUACUUCUAAUGUUACUGUGCAUGAACUUCUCGUUAUUUUUACAUGUUUUACAUGAUUAUUAUGGUCAUUUCGACCUUGACAAAUUUCAUUUUCUUUUUUUCCAUUCAUCUUACAGGUCGAAGGAGCUCCCUUCAGUUCAAUGGAUUCAACAAAAUAAUCCAUGUUGCCUACUAGAACUUGCGUGUGUGCUGUGGCAUGUGUGCAGCUGCAUGCCUGGUGCCUGA